GGGCCCGUGGUGUAGCCUGGUCUAACACGCCACACUGUCACUGUGGAGAUCGCCGGUUCAAAUCCGGUCGGGCCCGCCA
rnacentral:tRNA from 1 species